UGCAGUUUUGGUGAUUUUACUAUUUAAAGUGGCCCCCAAGCACUGCUGGAGCACUAAAGAGCUGUCUAGUUGUCCAAAGAACAGGAAGGCUGUGAUGUGCCUUACAAAGAAAAUGGUGUGUGUUAGGAGAAAAUGCAUGAACACCUUUGACUUUUGUAAUGAGGGCAGGAUUAUGAACUACAAAAGAAAACCUAAGUUAAUAUCUUCAAAUUUUUUAUCCUUCAUUGUGAUGAACGAUAGAGAUGAUAUGAGGAGAAACCCAUUUCCAAAGAAAUUUGUUCUGGCAUAUGGAAAUCAACGCUCCAUCAGACAGCUUUAUAAAGCUAUAAUGAAUAGCCUUUUUGGAAUUCCUAAACAAUGAAAAGGAGUCCCUGAAACAUCUCAGCCUCUCCUUGUUUCUUUCAAUGGCACACUGAGUGACACCAGCUCCAGCAGGUUUUUGAUAGCAUUAAGGGAAGCUGUGGCUGCCUGUUUUGAAGAUGCCUCUCUUAUCUCAAUGGCUAGUUUUGGACAUUUCCACACUCGAAACAUGAGAGACUUAAAGAACCUCUUGGAUCAACAAGUCUGUUUUCCUUCCCUUGCCCUCCCAAGAGUUUAAGACUUCUCCAGGGGAAAAUUCAAUUGCCUCCAACCUACUCAUUACCUGGAUGUAAGCAUGAGAGACACCCUCUGGGCCUAUGACCUAGUUCACCACGUUGGACGUAAAAAGG